AUUGAACGCUGGCGGCAUGCCUUACACAUGCAAGUCGAACGGCAGCACGGGGCAACCUGGUGGCGAGUGGCGAACGGGUGAGUAAUGGAUCGGACCGUACCUUUCAGUGGGGGAUAACGUAGCGAAAGUUACGCUAAUACCGCAUACUCUGUGAGCAGGAAAGCAGGGGAUCGCAAGCCCCUGCGCUCAUUCAGGGGGCGAUGUAGGAUUAGCUAGUUGGUGGGGUAAAGGCUCACGAAGGCGACGAUCUGUAGCGGGUCUGAGAGGAUGAGCCGCCACACUGGAACUGAGACACGGUCCAGACUCCUACGGGAGGCAGCAGUGGGGAAUUUUGGACAAUGGGGGCAACCCUGAUCCAGCCAUGCCGCGUGAGUGAAGAAGGCCUUCGGGUUGUAAAGCUCUUUCGGCCGGGAAGAAAUCGCACGGGCUAAUACCCUGUGUGGAUGACGGUACCGGAAUAAGAAGCACCGGCUAACUACGUGCCAGCCGCCGCGGUAAAAC
rnacentral:rRNA from 1 species